GUGCCAGCCGCCGCGGUAAUACCGGCAGCCCGAGUGAUGGCCGAUGUUAUUGGGCCUAAAGCGUCCGUAGCUGGCCGCACAAGUCCGCCGGGAAAUCCACCCGCUUAACGGGUGGGCGUCCGGCGGAAACUGCUCGGCUUGGGACCGGAGGACCCGAAGGGUACGUCCGGGGUAGGAGUGAAAUCCCGUAAUCCCGGACGGACCGCCGGUGGCGAAAGCGCCUCGGGAGGACGGAUCCGACGGUGAGGGACGAAAGCUAGGGUCUCGAACCGGAUUAGAAACCCGGGUAGUCC
rnacentral:rRNA from 1 species